GAUGAACGCUAGCGGCAGGCUUAACACAUGCAAGUCGAGGGGUAGAAGCAGCUUGCUGCUUUGAGACCGGCGCACGGGUGCGUAACGCGUAUGCAAUCUACCUUUUACAGAGGGAUAGCCCAGAGAAAUUUGGAUUAAUACCUCAUAGUAUGUGAGAAUCGCAUGGUUUUCACAUUAAAGUUCCAACGGUAAAAGAUGAGCAUGCGUCCCAUUAGCUAGAUGGUAAGGUAACGGCUUACCAUGGCGACGAUGGGUAGGGGUCCUGAGAGGGAGAUCCCCCACACUGGUACUGAGACACGGACCAGACUCCUACGGGAGGCAGCAGUGAGGAAUAUUGGACAAUGGUCGGAAGACUGAUCCAGCCAUGCCGCGUGAAGGAUGAAGGCGCUCAGCGUUGUAAACUUCUUUUGUACGGGAAGAAACAGCAGCUCUAACACAGUCUGCGAAUGACGGUACCUGAAGAUAAGCACCGGCUAA
rnacentral:rRNA from 1 species